CGGAGGUGCAAGCGUUAUCCGGAUUCACUGGGUUUAAAGGGUGCGUAGGCGGGCAGGUAAGUCCGUGGUGAAAUCUCCGAGCUUAACUCGGAACUGCCAUGGAUACUAUUUGUCUUGAAUACUGUGGAGGUGAGCGGAAUAUGUCAUGUAGCGGUGAAAUGCUUAGAUAUGACAUAGAACACCAAUUGCGAAGGCAGCUCACUGCGCAGUGAUUGACGCUGAGGCACGAAAGCGUGGGAUCAAACAGGAUU
rnacentral:rRNA from 1 species